GGGUCUUCCUGGGCUACCCUCGUCUGCUGGCUUAAGCCAUUUCUGUGUGUUAAUGAUACUUGGUAAUCCUUCACUUUGCAGCAUACGACUAAGUAGUGAUAUAUCUUUAUUAACAGUGGAAUCCAUUCUAUUUAUUUGGAAUGUAGGCUUUCAGAUAGCAUUUUAAAUAUUAAUGACUGGUCUCUGGUAGUCAGCAUAAAUAUGAUUUGCAUUAGCACCAGGUUGUAUCAUCUUGAGUGCUCUGAUGUCAACUGUUGGGUAUAGUAAUAUCUGACAUCAUCUCCUCAGGUCACUGACAACUUUGACCUCUAUUCUUAUGCACAGUUUCUGUCGUCUCAAAAGCUCUUUUGAAUUGAUUUGAAAUUUUGACUCUUCCCUUUAUGAGGCAGUAAAAUUGAUAAUUAUUCAGAUGGGAACUGAGUGCUGAGUGAAAAAUCAAUUCCACCCGCUCUCUGCUGCGUAUAAAAUUACUUGUGAGUCGGCUGGACUGAACGGAUGGCCAGAGUAAAAGCAGCAGGCAGGGGCAGUGGGAAGAAUUAGCUGGACAGAGCGCAUAGCCUGAGGGAUGGACCUGGAAAAGAGGGAGUGAGCCAGUUGGGGGUUAUUAUGAGCAGGAUGGGUCCCAUUGAUCAUCUGUUUACAUCAGCUUUCCAAAACCUUAUAAAUCAGCCCUGAAGAGCAGCGGGGCCCAAGAUUCGGCCUCUUACCGGAGGGACUUUGUAUUAGAUUAUUCUCAUUCUCACACUCAGAUGAAAAGUGAGCCAUUGAUUAUUCAUCGGUUGCCCAUUAAAAGCUGUUUUUAUAGAUGAUUUGCCUAUCACAGAAGGUAAUGAACAAGGUUGUUGCUUCAUAUCUUGAGGUUUCAGUUUUCAAGGCAUCUGUGUGGUUAAGUAAUGCCUAACCCUAUUAAAAGGAAUGGGUUACAAAUUGCUUAACAGUGGUGAAAAACUAGACCCUAAUGACUAAUUGUGCUUGGAGUUUAGAGGGGGUUUGUCAGCUCUUUAAACUAAACUGAUGUAAUGAUACUGCAAUUAUUUACUACUUUGAACUGCUUUCCUCCAACCUGGACCUGUUUUGCUGGAAGCGGAACUGCAAGAAGAGUGUCAGUUCCAAACUGCAGAAGGUACAGCUCCUCUGACCUGCCGCGACAUACAGGGGCCUGCUGAGGGUUCCAGCAUCCUCACGGGC
rnacentral:lncRNA from 1 species